rnacentral:rRNA from 1 species
AUUGAACGCUGGCGGCAUGCCUUACACAUGCAAGUCGAACGGCAGCACGGGGGCAACCCUGGUGGCGAGUGGCUAACGGGUGAGUAAUGCAUCGGCACGUGCCCAGUAGUGGGGGAUAACCAGUCGAAAGACUGGCUAAUACCGCAUACGACCCAAGGGUGAAAGCGGGGGACCGGAAGGCCUUGCGCUAUGGGAGCGGCCGAUGUCUGAUUAGCUAGUUGGCGGGGUAAGAGCCCACCAAGGCGACGAUCAGUAGCUGGUCUGAGAGGACGACCAGCCACACUGGGACUGAGAAACGGCCCAGACUCCUACGGGAGGCAGCAGUGGGGAAUUUUGGACAAUGGGCGCAAGCCUGAUCCAGCCAUGCCGCGUGCGGGAAGAAGGCCUUCGGGUUGUAAACCGCUUUUGGCAGGAACGAAACGGCGCAGGCCAAUACCUUGCGCUAAUGACGGUACCUGCAGAAUAAGCACCGGCUAACUACGUGCCAGCAGCCGCAGUAACAC